AUUGAACGCUGGCGGCAUGCUUUACACAUGCAAGUCGAACGGCAGCACGGGGGCAACCCUGGUGGCGAGUGGCGAACGGGUGAGUAAUACAUCGGAACGUGCCCAGUUGUGGGGGACAACCAGUCGAAAGACUGGCUAAUACCGCAUACGGCCUACGGGUGAAAGCGGGGGAUCGCAAGACCUCGCGCUAUUGGAGCGGCCGACGUCCGAUUAGCUAGUUGGUGGGGUAAGAGCCUACCAAGGCGACGAUCGGUAGCUGGUCUGCGGGGACGACCAGCCACACUGGGACUGAGACACGGCCCAGACGCCUACGGGAGGCAGCAGUGGGGAAUUUUGGACAAUGGGGGAAACCCUGAUCCAGCCAUGCCGCGUGCGGGAAGAAGGCCUUCGGGUUGUAAACCGCUUUUGGCAGGAACGAAACAGUACGAGCUAAUACUUCGUACGAAUGACGGUACCUGCAGAAUAAGCACCGGCUAACUACGUGCCAGCAGCCGCAGUAACAC
rnacentral:rRNA from 1 species